UUGAACGCUGGCGGCAUGCUUUACACAUGCAGGUCGAACGGUAACAGGGAGUUUGCCCCGCUGACGAGUGGCGAACGGGUGAGUAAUGCAUCGGAACGUACCCAGUCGUGGGGGAUAACGUAGCGAAAGUUACGCUAAUACCGCAUACGUCCUGAGGGAGAAAGCGGGGGACCGUCAGGCCUCGCGCGAUUGGAGCGGCCGAUGUCGGAUUAGCUAGUUGGUGGGGUAAAGGCCUACCAAGGCGACGAUCCGUAGCGGGUCUGAGAGGAUGAUCAGCCACACUGGGACUGAGACACGGCCCAGACUCCUACGGGAGGCAGCAGGGGGGAAUUUUGGACAAUGGGGGCAAGCCUGAUCCAGCCAUGCCGCGUGAGUGAAGAGGGCCUUCGGGUUGUAAAGCUCUUUCAGACGGAAAGAAAACGCAUCGGUGAAUACCCGGCGUGGAUGACGGUACUGUAAGAAGAAGCACCGGCUAACUACGU
rnacentral:rRNA from 1 species